GAGUUUGAUCAUGGCUCAGGACGAACGCUGGCGGCGUGCUUAACACAUGCAAGUCGAACGGUGACCUCGGAGCUUGCUCCGGGUGAUCAGUGGCGAACGGGUGAGUAACACGUGAGCAACCUGCCCCCGACUCUGGGAUAACCCCGGGAAAUCGGAGCUAAUACCGGAUACGAGACGCACAGGCAUCUGUUGCGUCUGGAAAGAAUUUCGGUCGGGGAUGGGCUCGCGGCCUAUCAGCUAGUUGGUGGGGUAGUGGCCUACCAAGGCGACGACGGGUAGCCGGCUUGAGAGGGCGACCGGCCACACUGGGACUGAGACACGGCCCAGACUCCUACGGGAGGCAGCAGUGGGGAAUAUUGCACAAUGGGCGCAAGCCUGAUGCAGCGACGCCGCGUGAGGGAUGACGGCCUCGGUUGUAA
rnacentral:rRNA from 1 species